GGGGGCUUAGCUCUGCUGGGAGAGCGCCUGCUUUGCACGCAGGAGGUCAGCGGUUCGAUCCCGAUAGUCUCCACCA
rnacentral:tRNA from 1 species